AUCAUUUGGGCUCACUUGAUGCCCAAACAGGGUGUGCAAGGCCAAUGGAGGGGGUACGGUCCAGGAAGUAUGAUAACCAGCAUGUCAUUUAGGCUCACUUAAGCCCAAGGUAAAGAAUAAUAAGUAACCUGAGGUUCCAUCCCCUUCCUCACCUGCACGCUAUGCCACUCACCAGAAGAGGGGGAAAAAUAGGUUAUGCGGCGAUGAACCUAGCCGCGCCGGAUUUUGCCACCGGCGGUGGCGGUUCCAAUCGACGACGCAUAUCACUCUGUCUCCUCUCUAUUCUCCUAAUCGAAACCGAAAGAAAAUGCUCGACGUAACCAAAUCAAAAUCCAACGCGAUGCGGAUCUUCGACGGAAAAAUCGAGUGACGAAUGAAAAACGUAAACAGACAGUGACCGCGAUUCACAUCACAACAGAUGAACUAACAAUGCAUAAAUUAGAAAUUCCUAAUUCCUACCAGCGAUGGCGACCGUGUAGAGUUGAAGAGGACGAAGAACGCGAACUCUGAUACGAGUUAUCCCGAAUCUCUCCUUCUCCUUCUUCUAUGUUGUAAGCUUUGAUUCCAUGUUAUCAUUGUUGUGAUUGGAUGCAUUGUGUGGUGGUUAUAGGCAAUUGAAAAAGUGAGGUUGAAGGUUGUUUGCGUGAAGAAGAAGAUGGUGUUGAUGAAGCAAUUCCGUUGAAGGUUGUACGCGGAGAGGUGAGGUUGAAGUGGAUCGCGGGGGUGAUGAAGGAUGUGAUGGCGAAUGAGGUGUGGCUGUGGUUAUGGAGGAAAAAGUUUGUUACAGUUGUUAUCGGUGGUGGAAGUAUAAGAGAGUGGAAGAAGAAAUUGCGGAAAAAUCUUGGCCAGCCAUCUUCACCGUUAACCAAGCUGCUGUUUCUGCGUUUUGGAAAUCUUGGUUUGAUUUUCGUCGUUUACCGCUGAUGCGUGUGUUGCCUUUGCAUUUUGGCUGGAGCUGGGUUUUGCGCUUGUUGCAGCUUUUGCAAUUUUAUUGUAGCUUAGUUUUGUUUGUUAUGGUGUAAUUGCGUUUUGACACUUUGACGCCGUUUGUGUUUAAGUUUUGGCGUGUGCGUCGUUUUUGGUAGCUCUUGAUUUACUGUAACCUUUACAUUGCCUAUUGCACCUGCAUUUCCAUUU